rnacentral:rRNA from 1 species
UGCCUACGGGGGGCAGCAGUGGGGGAUAUUGCACAAUGGGGGGAACCCUGAUGCAGCGACGCCGCGUGGGUGAAGGAGCGUUUCGGCGCGUAAAGCCCUAUCGGCAGGGAAGAAGAUGACGGUACCUGACCAAGAAGCCUCGGCUACCUACGUGCCAGCAGCCGCGGAAAUACGUAGGGGGCGCGCGGUAUCCGGAUUUACUGGGUGUAAAGGGGGCGCAGACGGCAAUGCAAGCCAGGGUUGAAAGACC